rnacentral:rRNA from 1 species
AGCUUAGGGAAAUCAUCCUAGGUGAAACCUGCCCGGUGACUAGAUUUUAACGGCCGCGGUACUUUGACCGUGCUAAGGUAGCGUAAUCAGUUGACUUUUAAAUGAAGUCUUGUAUGAAUGGAUUUAUGGGAUUAAGCUGUCUCUUCUAUAUUCUAUUGAAAUUACUAAUUAGGUGAAAAGGCCUAAGAAUGAAAAAAGACGAGAAGACCCUUAGAGUUUUAAUAAAGGUUUUUGUUGGGGCGACAAGAAGACAUAUAUAUAACUCUUCUAUUAGAAAACAUCUUGCCGGUUCUUUUAAGUAUGAAUAAACUACCUUAGGGAUAACAGCAUAAUCCAGAUUUGGGUUUGUGACCUCGAUGUUGGACUAGGAAAAUUAUGCCCUAGCAGGGUAUAUAUUUAGGUUCUGUUCGAACUUUUCUUCCU